rnacentral:lncRNA from 1 species
UUCCUGGUAUUUGUAAAAGACAUCUUGGAGUAUAAAAGUCAACUAGGUUCAGAAUAAAGAGACAGAAACCAUAGCUGAAUAGAAGCAGAGGCCUUUCAGGGGAGGGAAAAUGCCUAGUCCGUGUUCAUUUAGUCCUUCCCUCACCUCCUGUUUAUUUUUCUUUCGGGCAAAACCUGGUGAGUUUCUUCCAGUUGCCCUAAGUGCAUCAGCCCACAACCUCAAAUCUGUCCGAGCUAUCGUGAGGAAUGGAACCUAACCUCCUUGCCUUCUCUUACCAACCCUGGUGUCCUACCUGUAAACGUUCCUGACAACAUCUGGGGGACUCGAGAUAAAACCGAGGCUUUGCGCGGGAACAGCGGAGUCUAUGCUGCCCUAACAGGACUAACAGACGGAAAAGCGAUCCCCUCCCCGGCCCCGGGCCCCGCGUCCCUGAAGAAGAACGCGCACCGGGUGGAAGCCGCCUCCACGGCUCCUUGCCCUGGCCCCUGCCGAUCGCGACACCGGGGCGGUGACAACGGAGCGACGACACCAGCUCCUUGGCUGGGCUCCGGUCCUUCGGGAAGCUGGGUCCGCGGAGCCACGAAAUCCGGCCUGAGCGCGGCCCAACCUCGCAACAGGGGCCAGUGGAAAGUUCUUGGCUCAUUCCAUACCAGACCCGGGUCCUACUUUCCUCUGGGUCGGGUCCACCGGCUGGAUCCCCCUCGUAGCUUCCGCCUCCAGCCGGGUGCUCUGGGGACACACGCUCGGUGGCUCGGUGGCUCGGUAGAGGCGCAGCGACUCGCGGGAAACCCAGACCGAGGGGACCGAGGAGCGUGGAGGGGCUCACUACCGCCAGAGCAGGAUUCCUAGAAAGAACUCUUCUUCACCACUUGCCAAAAACAAGUCGAAAGAAGUGAAACUCUUGGAAGGAAAAGAGUGUCAGUGACAAAAAUGGAGAGCAGGAAUGAAAGUCCACAGCCUGUGUGGAGGAUCCGGUCCGAUAAAGCAGCAGGGGAGAAAGUGAAUCACAACAGAUAUGCACCUUUACUAAUAACCGCAACAAUACCUUACAGUUACACAACUUUCUUAAAGGAAGCGCAUUUACAAUGAAGGCAUUUCAGCCGGAUGGUGUCAUUCUUCUGCUCAAACCCUCCUAACUUCAGCGGCCAGUUUUCUCUCUUCCUAAGAGGUAAAAUCCUGCUGGUGGCUUACACGGUCCUAAGUGACCCUGUCCUUUUUCCUCUCUGACACGCUGGCUUCUUCAAGCAGUCCUUUGACCCCUGUGCCGCAGCUACUUCCUGAUUUGGCUAUAAGGAGAAAAAAAGAUUUAUCACUUAAACAGAGCAGAAGCAAAAAUCAGCUUGGUGUCAGCUCUUCGCAUCUAGGUCCCACGGUGUGGCAUGACCCCGACUAGAGGGACCAGAUGAACAGACCUUAUGAGCUGUGAGGACGAAGGAGCCCGCAGCUGUAUCCCUGGCGAAGGAGCAGAUGGAGCUGGGAUGGAAAUUUUACACUCAAGGGAAGUUUGGAAGAGGAGAAACUGCCUUGCAGCACUCUCUCACAAACAGGGAUAUCAAACUGCCUCAGGGAUGAAACUUGGGUCCUUGUGCUUGCGAGGCAGGUGGUGGAACCACUGAACUAAAUCCCUGGCCCCCAAAUCGCUUCCUAAGGGCUUCUCACAAGGCCUCCUGUCCCUGCUCCAGAAAGAAUCCCAAGGCCGGGCACCAAGCCUUGGGUCACACCGUGGUGACAUCUUGCAUUCAGGGUACAGUUGCCCAUGAACAAGAUCAUCCGGC